rnacentral:rRNA from 1 species
GGUUAAGCGACUAAGCGUACACGGUGGAUGCCCUGGCAGUCAGAGGCGAUGAAGGACGUGCUAAUCUGCGAAAAGCGCCGGCGAGGUGAUAUGAACCUUUGACCCGGCGAUGUCCGAAUGGGGAAACCCAGUGUGAUUCGUCACACUAUCGUUAACUGAAUACAUAGGUUAACGAGGCGAACCGGGGGAACUGAAACAUCUAAGUACCCCGAGGAAAAGAAAUCAACCGAGAUUCCCCCAGUAGCGGCGAGCGAACGGGGAGCAGCCCAGAGUCUGAAUCAGCUUGUGUGUUAGUGGAAGCGUCUGGAAAGUCGCACGGUACAGGGUGACAGUCCCGUACACGAAAGCACACAGGUUGUGAACUCGAAGAGUAGGGCGGGACACGUGGUAUCCUGUCUGAAUAUGGGGGGACCAUCCUCCAAGGCUAAAUACUCCUGACUGACCGAUAGUGAACCAGUACCGUGAGGGAAAGGCGAAAAGAACCCCGGCGAGGGGAGUGAAAAAGAACCUGAAACCGUGUACGUACAAGCAGUGGGAGCACCUUCGUGGUGUGACUGCGUACCUUUUGUAUAAUGGGUCAGCGACUUAUAUUCUGUAGCAAGGUUAACCGUAUAGGGGAGCCGAAGGGAAACCGAGUCUUAACUGGGCGUUAAGUUGCAGGGUAUAGACCCGAAACCCGGUGAUCUAGCCAUGGGCAGGUUGAAGGUUGGGUAACACUAACUGGAGGACCGAACCGACUAAUGUUGAAAAAUUAGCGGAUGACUUGUGGCUGGGGGUGAAAGGCCAAUCAAACCGGGAGAUAGCUGGUUCUCCCCGAAAGCUAUUUAGGUAGCGCCUCGUGAACUCAUCUUCGGGGGUAGAGCACUGUUUCGGCUAGGGGGCCAUCCCGGCUUACCAACCCGAUGCAAACUACGAAUACCGAAGAAUGUUAUCACGGGAGACACACGGCGGGUGCUAACGUCCGUCGUGAAGAGGGAAACAACCCAGACCGCCAGCUAAGGUCCCAAAGUCAUGGUUAAGUGGGAAACGAUGUGGGAAGGCACAGACAGCCAGGAUGUUGGCUUAGAAGCAGCCAUCAUUUAAAGAAAGCGUAAUAGCUCACUGGUCGAGUCGGCCUGCGCGGAAGAUGUAACGGGGCUAAACUAUGCACCGAAGCUGCGGCAGCGACGCUUAUGCGUUGUUGGGUAGGGGAGCGUUCUGUAAGCCGUUGAAGGUGUGCUGUGAGGCAUGCUGGAGGUAUCAGAAGUGCGAAUGCUGACAUAAGUAACGAUAAAGCGGGUGAAAAGCCCGCUCGCCGGAAGACCAAGGGUUCCUGUCCAACGUUAAUCGGGGCAGGGUGAGUCGACCCCUAAGGCGAGGCCGAAAGGCGUAGUCGAUGGGAAACAGGUUAAUAUUCCUGUACUUGGUGUUACUGCGAAGGGGGGACGGAGAAGGCUAUGUUAGCCGGGCGACGGUUGUCCCGGUUUAAGCAUGUAGGCGGAACGAUUAGGUAAAUCCGGUCGUUUUUUAACGCUGAGGUGUGAUGACGAGGCACUACGGUGCUGAAGUAACAAAUGCCCUGCUUCCAGGAAAAGCCUCUAAGCAUCAGGUAACAUCAAAUCGUACCCCAAACCGACACAGGUGGUCAGGUAGAGAAUACCAAGGCGCUUGAGAGAACUCGGGUGAAGGAACUAGGCAAAAUGGUGCCGUAACUUCGGGAGAAGGCACGCUGAUAUGUAGGUGAAGCCCCUGCGGGUGGAGCUGAAAUCAGUCGAAGAUACCAGCUGGCUGCAACUGUUUAUUAAAAACACAGCACUGUGCAAACACGAAAGUGGACGUAUACGGUGUGACGCCUGCCCGGUGCCGGAAGGUUAAUUGAUGGGGUUAGCGGCAACGCGAAGCUCUUGAUCGAAGCCCCGGUAAACGGCGGCCGUAACUAUAACGGUCCUAAGGUAGCGAAAUUCCUUGUCGGGUAAGUUCCGACCUGCACGAAUGGCGUAAUGAUGGCCAGGCUGUCUCCACCCGAGACUCAGUGAAAUUGAACUCGCUGUGAAGAUGCAGUGUACCCGCGGCAAGACGGAAAGACCCCGUGAACCUUUACUAUAGCUUGACACUGAACACUGGUCCUUGAUGUGUAGGAUAGGUGGGAGGCUUUGAAGUGUGGACGCCAGUCUGCGUGGAGCCGUCCUUGAAAUACCACCCUUUAAUGGCUGGUGUUCUAACGUAGACCCGUAAUCCGGGUUGCGGACAGUGUCUGGUGGGUAGUUUGACUGGGGCGGUCUCCUCCCAAAGAGUAACGGAGGAGCACGAAGGUUAGCUAAUCCUGGUCGGACAUCAGGAGGUUAGUGCAAUGGCAUAAGCUAGCUUGACUGCGAGAGUGACGGCUCGAGCAGGUGCGAAAGCAGGUCAUAGUGAUCCGGUGGUUCUGAAUGGAAGGGCCAUCGCUCAACGGAUAAAAGGUACUCCGGGGAUAACAGGCUGAUACCGCCCAAGAGUUCAUAUCGACGGCGGUGUUUGGCACCUCGAUGUCGGCUCAUCACAUCCUGGGGCUGAAGUAGGUCCCAAGGGUAUGGCUGUUCGCCAUUUAAAGUGGUACGCGAGCUGGGUUUAGAACGUCGUGAGACAGUUCGGUCCCUAUCUGCCGUGGGCGCUGGAGAAUUGAGGGGGGCUGCUCCUAGUACGAGAGGACCGGAGUGGACGCAUCACUGGUGUUCGGGUUGUCAUGCCAAUGGCACUGCCCGGUAGCUAAAUGCGGAAAAGAUAAGUGCUGAAAGCAUCUAAGCACGAAACUUGCCCCGAGAUGAGUUCUCCCUGAGACUUUAAGUCUCCUGAAGGAACGUUGAAGACGACGACGUUGAUAGGUCGGGUGUGUAAGCGCAGCGAUGCGUUGAGCUAACCGAUACUAAUGAACCGUGAGGCUUAACCUU